rnacentral:tRNA from 1 species
UUUGUUGUAGUCUAAUUGGUUAGGAUAUUCGGCUCUCAUCGAAAGCCCAAGUUCAAGUCCUAGCAACAGAA